rnacentral:rRNA from 1 species
GUGUCAGCAGCCGCGGUAAUACGGGGGGGGCAAGCGUUGUUCGGAAUUACUGGGCGUAAAGGGCGCGUAGGCGGUUUGCUAAGUUGAAUGUGAAAACUCUGGGCUUAACCCAGAGCCUGCAUUCAAUACUGGCAGGCUAGAGUUCUGGAGGGGAUAGCGGAAUUCCUGGUGUAGCGGUGAAAUGCGUAGAUAUCAGGAGGAACACCGGUGGCGAAGGCGGCUAUCUGGACAGAGUCUGACGCUGAGGCGCGAAAGCUAGGGGAGCAAACAGGAUUAGAAACCCCCGUAGUCC